GUGCUCGCUUCGGCAGCACUUAUACUAGAAUUGGAACGAUACAGAGAAGAUUAGCAUGGCCCCUGUGCAAAGAUGACAUGCAAGUUCGUGAAGCAUUCCAUAUUUAA